GUUUGAAUGAUGACUUAAAAUUAUUUUGUCGGAUACCCCUUCACUCUAUCAUGAGUGAGAUCCCAAUUCUGACAUGC